GAUGAACGCUAGCGACAGGCUUACCUCAUGCAAGUCGAGGGGCAGCACAGGUAGCAAUACCGGGUGGCGACCGGCGCACGGGUGAGUAACGCGUAUGCAACUUACCUAUCAAAGGGGGAUAACCCGGCAAAAGUCGGACUAAUACCGCAUGAAGCAGGGGCCCCGCAUGGGGAUAUUUGCUAAAAAUUUAUCGCUGAUAGAUAGGCAUGCGUUCCAUUAGGCAGUUGGCGGGGUAACGGCCCACCAAACCGACAAUGGAUAGGGGUUCUGAGAGGAAGGUCCCCCACAUUGGUACUGAAACACGGACCAAACUCCUACGGGAGGCAGCAGUGAGGAAUAUUGGUCAAUGGGCGCGAGCCUGAACCAGCCAAGUCGCGUGAGGAAUGAAGGUUCUAUGGAUCGUAAACCUCUUUUAUAAGGGGAUAAAGUGCGGGACGUGUCCCGUUUUGUAUGUACCUUAUGAAUAAGGAUCGGCUAACUCCGUG
rnacentral:rRNA from 1 species